rnacentral:rRNA from 1 species
GACGUAGGUUGCAAGCGUUAUCCGGAAUUAUUGGGCGUAAAGCGUUCGUAGGUGGUUUGUUAAGUUGGAUGUUAAAGCCUUAAGCUUAACUUAAGUCAUGUAUCCAAAACUAGCAGACUAGAGACAGGUAGAGGUAAGUAGAAUUCUGUAUGUAGGGGUAAUAUCCGUAGAUAUACAGAGGAAUACCAAAAGCGAAGGCAGCUUACUGGACCUGUUCUGACACUCAGGAACGAAAGCGUGGGGAGCAAACGGG